CUCUCUCUCUCUCUCUCUCUCUCUCUCUCUCUCUCUCUCUCUCUCUAUAGCUAGGCAUGUGAAGGAGGAUGCCGAUUCCCAAUUGGGUUGGGUCCAGAAGGAACUUUGUGUAACCUUCGUUUGCCGGAGUUCUUGCCGACCUUCCUCCCUUGAGUAGGGGCAUUUGCUCUUUCUUUCUCCUUUGAACAAACAUAGUUAAAACAAGACAAUCAUUUAUAUGUAUAUGCACUUGCACACCCAUUUGUGUUUGCAAGUAAAUUAGUACAGACAUGUCCACGUGUUCAGCGCACACGCAGAGAGAGAGAGAGAGAGAGAGAGAGAGAGAGCUUACUUGGUUGCUAAAGGCAACGGUGACAUUGUUUGCACCGGGGUGAGCCAUCUGAAAUAUGGCAUCGGCUGUAGAGUAGGAAAGAGUUAGAAGGUUAUACUAGUUGCUUCAAGAAAUAAUAUUUGAUUCAAUGAAUUCUGAAGUGAAGGCAAAAGUAACCUGGUUGCAUGGCAUGAACCAUGAAUGUUGUGAGGUUUUGCUGUUGAGAAGCUGCUAGGAGGAGACAAACUAAGAGGAGUUGUCUGAAGCUAUGAAUCCGCUUCAUCUCUCUCUUUUGAUCUCUAAUUCAUGUUUGGGAGCAAUAUGGAGCCUUUUCAAGGAGGUGGGAGAGAAUAUGGAGGCUUUUUAAGGAGGUGAUAACAAGUCACGGGAUAGGGACCUAACCUACCUGCUUAAAUAGUUCCGUUCAUUUCGUUCACUGCUAAGCGAAGGGACAGGGAUUGUAGACUCUAGACUGAGACGUACUGGCGAGAGGGAAGGGAUUCUAGACCCGCUAAUAGACUAGUUGGAGGCAGGAAGAUUUUAGACGCUCUUACAGACUAGGGACAUUGUACCCCACUUAGAGAGUAGGCUUCCCAUGAGCCUAGAUGGAGUGUCUAUGUAUGAGUGAGAGUGAGAGAUUUGGAACUAACUGUCCCAAUAAUCAAAUAUUUGACUUUGCUCAAAUUGCUGCUACAAGUUGGGAAUCCUAUGUAUGUUGAGAGAGAGAUCCAAUACUAUCUUGGGCUCAAAGGCAUAUCAAAUAGGUGCCUGCAUAAG
rnacentral:lncRNA from 1 species